AGGGCUCUCGGCGCUGGAAGUCGGCCAGUACUUCGCGGCUGGGCUGUGACUGGCGGAAGGCUGGCAGGCCCUGCUUGCAGCGUUUGAGGCAGUGUGCGCGGCGCAGCAGGCCCCCAAAGAGGCGCAGCUCUGGAUAGCGCGCGAGGCCGGCGGUGGGCUCAGGCUCUGGCGCCGCGCUGCAGUUGCGGUGGCAGAAGGCCUCGCUGUCGCGCAGCAGGCGGUGCAGCCGCAGGCUAAUCUCCAGUGAGAAAAAUCAAUGCAUAAAUAAAAUGAGGAAGUCGGAGUUUCCGUCGUGGCUCAGCAGAAAGGAAUCUGACUGGAAUCCAUGAAGACGGAGGUUCCAUCCCAGGCCUUGCUCAGCGGUUAAGGAUCCGGCUUUGCCUUGAGCUGUGGUGUAGGUGGCAGACUUGACUCGGAUCUGACGUUGCUGUGGCUGUGGCGGACGACAGCGGCUACAGUUCGAAUUAAAACCCCUAGGCUGGGAAAUUCCAUAUGCCGUGGGUGCGGCCCGAGGAAGACAAAAAAAAAAAGCUUCCUCCCUUGUCCUUAAAGUCAGAGCCAACCUGUUAGGGUUAAUAGGGAGAGACUGACCUAUGUGAACUGUGACCUCUGCUGAAAUGUCAUCUGGUCUGCGUCACCAUUGAAGAGUGAGCCUCACCACCUUGGCCAAGCCCCUCCAGGUCCAUCUAUGUCACUUUCAGGCCACUCUGCUUUGACAGUGGGGUUUGAGACAUCUCCAGGAGCUCCUUGGAGCCCAGGAUACCUCCAUGGAUCACAGGCCACUGUCACCACAGAAAAUGGCUCAGGAGGAGGAGUCAUGAAGGCCACAAGAAAUGGAGAGAAGGCUACUGUGGCCAGAGUAAUAAAGACUGGGGUGGGGUGUGGGCAGCAAAGGUUAAGUGGAACUGCCUUUGAGGAGAAGGUUGAGGUGGACGGGCAGGUGGAGGUGGAAGGGAUGGAGAGGGAUAGUGACACAGGUAGCUGUAGAAGUUCCAAUAAGGACCACAGAUAGAGAGGGAAAUCUAGGGAAUUUUGGGAGAUAACUAAGUUAAUAACUGCUCAAGAAAGCCAUCAAAACAAGACAGGCUUGCUCGACUAGUGGAAGCUCAAGAUACGCCUCAGGUGAUUGGGUGGGGGAUGGGGUGAGGCCUGCAUUCAGGUUCAGACCAAAGGCAGGAGUUUAAGGACUGCCUUUCUGCUGAGCACCAUGACAGUCCUAGUUUGACCUUAUAGGGUCAAAUACUGUCUUAGCAGAUACCAAGGAGGAGCUACUACUCAAAGAAAGAGGAAGAGGCAAUCUUUUCCCACCCCCACUCCCCUUGGAUUAUAAAAUGUAGCCCACCUAAUCCUCAGGGCAGAGCCUCCUUGCCUGCCCAUUUGCAUCUCUCACAAGCAUUCUAUCUUAAUAAAUCUAUUUCUUGCC
rnacentral:lncRNA from 1 species